GAGAAGAAGGGAGUGAGACUGCUCAGAGAGGCAGGAUUCCUGCUGACUCCAGGGGGACACCUGGCACCUCAGCUUCCUUUCCCACUUCUCCAGGCUGCAUGGAGGGGUGCCGGGCAGGGGCCUCCUGGAAGGGAACCUCCUGCAGCCUCAAGCACCAGGUCAUGACAUGACGUCUAUCCCUUUCCCAGGUGACCGACUCCUGCAGGUGGAUGGAGUGAUUCUGUGCGGCCUCACCCACAAGCAGGCUGUGCAGUGCCUGAAGGGUCCUGGGCAGGUUGCAAGACUGGUCUUAGAGAGAAGAGUCCCCAGGAGUACACAGCAGUGUCCUUCUGCUAAUGACAGCAUGGGAGAUGAACGCACGGCUGUUUCCUUGGUAACAGCCUUGCCUGGCAGGCCUUUGAGCUGUGUCUCGGUGACAGAUGGUCCUAAGUUUGAAGUCAAACUAAAAAAGAAUGCCAAUGGUUUGGGAUUCAGUUUCGUGCAGAUGGAGAAAGAGAGCUGCAGCCAUCUCAAAAGUGAUCUUGUGAGGAUUAAGAGGCUCUUUCCGGGGCAGCCAGCUGAGGAGAAUGGGGCCAUUGCAGCUGGUGACAUUAUCGUGGCCGUGAAUGGAAGGUCCACGGAAGGCCUCAUCUUCCAGGAGGUGCUGCAUUUACUGAGAGGGGCCCCACAGGAAGUCACGCUCCUCCUUUGCCGACCCCCUCCAGGUGCGCUGCCUGAGAUGGAGCAGGAAUGGCAGACACCUGAACUCUCAGCUGACAAAGAAUUCACCAGGGCAACAUGUACUGACUCAUGUACCAGCCCCAUCCUGGAUCAAGAGGACAGCUGGAGGGACAGUGCCUCCCCAGAUGCAGGGGAAGGCCUGGGUCUCAGGCCAGAGUCUUCCCAAAAGGCCAUCAGAGAGGCACAAUGGGGCCAAAACAGAGAGAGACCUUGGGCCAGUUCCUUGACACAUUCUCCUGAGUCCCACCCUCAUUUAUGCAAACUUCACCAAGAAAGGGAUGAAUCAACAUUGGCGACCUCUUUGGAAAAGGAUGUGAGGCAAAACUGCUAUUCAGUUUGUGAUAUCAUGAGACUUGGAAGAUAUUCCUUCUCAUCUCCUCUAACCAGACUUUCGACAGAUAUUUUCUGAGCACCUUCUCUGCAUGUCUGCAGUGCUGUGUAAAAUGCCCUACCUUUGCAUGGACUAUUCUUUCUAAUCAAGAGGCGUGUGUGGCGAACUUGGGGCAGCCCCUGGAAGUCUUGUUCUUUGACCAUUACGUCUGCGGCUGCAUCACCAGAUAAUGAGCUUCACCACUCGUCUGCCUCCUGUGUCCUUCCGCGGGGAGUAAAUGUCACUUCAGCUUGCCGCCUCUCUAAAUAGGCAAAUUUUCAGUGCUCAGAAAAGGACCUGAUCUUUGCACAAAGUGCUUUGAUGGUUGCCUGCUUGAGUCACUCCCAAUCCUUUCCUGAAGCCCUUUCUUUAUAAUUCUUCUGUUGAAAUAGCCAUCAUAAUCACAGUACUAAUCACAGCAUCUCACAUUUACUAAAAACUUACCCCAUACCAGGAACCCAGAGUUGGGGGGGCUGUGUCAGAAUUAUGUAAUUUACGUGUCCCAAUAAUCCUAGAUGCUUCUUGACCAUCUAGUUUUGUCAAAUGAGAAAACUGAGGUUCCAAAGAAGUCAAUAAACUUGUCCAAAGUCUGAC
rnacentral:sRNA from 1 species